UACGGAGGGUGCAAGCAUUAAUCGGAAUUAUUGGGCGUAAAGGGCGCGUAGGCGGAUUUGUAAGUCAGAUGUGAAAUUCCAAGACUCAAUUUUGGAGCUGCAUUUGAAACUGCAAGUCUACAGAGGGUAGACGGAGAAAACGGAAUUCCACAUGUAGCGGUGAAAUGCGUGGAUAUGUGGAAGAACACCGGUGGCGAAAGCGGUUUUCUAGUUUAUACCUGACGCUGAGGCGCGAGAGCAAGGGGAGCAA
rnacentral:rRNA from 1 species